CUGUUUUGUAGCAGUCUUUACAAUAUCAUAUUGUACAGCUGACUCAAUUCGACCAGCAACCUCUUUCAAGCCAUCUUUUUCCUGUACAGCAUUAGCAUCAUGUCUAGCUCUUUUAUCAUUGAGAUAGUCUCUUGCAUCCCCUUGUAAUUUGUCAACAUUAUCUACAUUUGUUCCGGUCAGCUCACUGACCAGAUUAUUCUCUGCCUUCUCCUCUGCUCCAGAAUUUUCUUUUUUUACUCCACAAGCCU
rnacentral:lncRNA from 1 species